rnacentral:rRNA from 1 species
GACGAACGCUGGCGGCGUGCUUAACACAUGCAAGUCGAGCGGAAAGGCCACUUCGGUGGUACUCGAGCGGCGAACGGGUGAGUAACACGUGAGUAAUCUGCCCUUGGCUUUGGGAUAGCCACCGGAAACGGUGAUUAAUACCGGAUAUGACCACUUCUCGCAUGGGAUGGUGGUGGAAAGUUUUUCGGCCAGGGAUGUGCUCGCGGCCUAUCAGCUUGAUGGUGAGGUAAUGGCUCACCAUGGCUUCGACGGGUAGCCGGCCUGAGAGGGUGACCGGUCACACUGGGACUGAGACACGGCCCAGACUCCUACGGGAGGCAGCAGUGGGGAAUAUUGGACAAUGGGCGGAAGCCCGAUCCAGCAACGCCGCGUGAGGGAUGACGGCCUUCGGGUUGUAAACCUCUUUCGCCUAUGACGAAGCGCAAGUGACGGUAAUAGGUAAAGAAGCACCGGCCAACUACGUGCCAGCCGCCGCGGUAAAAC